UAUGUGAGCGCUUAUUGAGAAGACAAAUCUAGAAUCAUACAAAAGUACGUCACUGCUUUCACGAUUUGUCAUAAAUGGAAUAAAUACACUUGAGUCUCGCACAAAGUACUGUGUCUCGGAGACAUUGAAUAUCAGUAUAAAUUGAUUGCCUUGUGUAUCAUAGAACAGUCUUAUAAAAAGGUUCGUCGGAUUCAAGACCAAACGCCACCAUGAAAACAAAUGUUUGCUUGAUUGCUGUCGCCAUUGUUACGAUGGUAUUUGCGGAGGAUUGUCCAACCAACAACGUUAAUGCAGAAUGGACCCAUAUGACGUGUGCAAACAGUUUUCACAAGGAAUGCAUUAAUGGAAUCUGCACGUGCUCAAAAAAGCUGUUUAAUCCAGGGUUGACCUUCAUUGAACAAUCACAAAUAGAAUGACAACGAUUGUUCCCGCAAGUAGACGCGAACUAAAUCCUAAAAUUGAAUGGGUUAUUUUCGACGAAAUGCUAUUCUCAAAGAAUUACCCGCGUACAUAAACUGGUUUAAAAUCAGUCGUUUUCAUUCUAUAUAAGCUAUCGUGAAUAGAGUUAAUGGAGGGUUCACUUAUAAUUGUAAUUUAUGAUGUGGUCAAUGUUUUUUUUUCUAUAAUAAUAACAUAUGGUUUAAAUACUACUACUAACAAUAUCAACGAAGAUCAAUCCUGCAUGUACAUUUUCGAAAAUUUGGCAGUCAUGUAUGUUUUUUUUUUAAACUUUAGUGAAUUUUAAGUAUUCAAACAGAGCCAUAUUUCUUUUCUGAUUUUUUUAAACGUUGACAAGCGAAUAAAACUUUGAUCGAGGUAGACAGCUUUGUUUGCUUUUUACACAACCUUCUCAAGGAAAUUAUAUGGUAUAUUUUGAGUAGUUGGAAUAUCAACUAAAUGCAUACAAUUAACAUACUUAUAUGUAAUGAUCGGAAGAAAUACGUGAGUUUAUUAGAAGCAAAGAAAGCAAAGGAAAAAAUGAAAGAAACGAGCCGGUGUAUUUUAUCAAAAGGUCGUCUUAGCCUUUCGACCAGACGAACUGCUUUAUUGUGUCACACUAUAUCCAUUUUAUAUUAGCGUUUCUCGUGUGGUCGCAAAAUUGAUGGAACACAACACUAAAAUAUUGCAUAUUUUCGCAUUCGUUUCGCUUCACAAUUUAAGCACUUUGUGAUAAAAAAAAAUUUCAAUUCAUAUCUUCGUCAGUAUUGUGGUUUAACAAUCUGGUGUUAACUGUUCAUUGAAGCAGUCUUUGAUUGAUAUUUGACAAUUCCGCAUCGUGUACCUAUGAGCUUAACUAUUCAUUUAGAGCAUUGAAAUGUGCAAGUUGUGAGAUAUAAUUUUGAGGAAACUAAUAAAGCGUUAUAUUCAGGUAUAAAAAAAAACACUUUUAAAUAAUUUACUUAAAAUACUCAACAAUUAAUGUGUACAUAACACACUAGUAAGGUUUAUAUAACGUUGUCCAGAAAACGGAAGGCGGCUAACGGCGUGAUGAAUCUUAUCAGGAAUGUUCCCCACGGCUCAACAACCCAACCUAUACAGUCCUUACUCUCAAGUUUAGUGUGAACAGGUAUCGCUAGAGACAUGCAAUGUGAUGAACUGGCUGGGGUACGGACCUUGCAUCAGAAAGGCACGGACAGACGGUUACAAGGAGAGUGAUAGGCGUAUGACUGCAGGGGCGUUUGGUAUUUUAAGAUGUGUUACUACAGGUAGCAAAGCUGAGGGUCUUACUAGUGUCUUGGAGAGUGACAUUGAUGUAAUGGUUAUAGUUAGUGGCUUUGUUUGUACAGAAGAUGGUGUCAAUUAUUCAAGCCUGCCAAACGAGAUAGCUGUGUUCAAAAUAUACACCGAUAUAUGUUACCACGGACAUUGCAGACUUCUACUAGAGAGACGCAGUUCAAUGGUUUAUCGAUUCGUGUAAAAAGCCCUGUGUGUCUUUUCUUGAGCAGUGACUUGUAUGUAAAUGUGUUUCAUGGUUUUACUGAUGUUAUUGAAAGUCCAAACGUGGUGCCGCGUGAACGUGCAGGUCCUUCAAUACCAUUUGUUCAUGGGGUUUUACAUUCAGACGUGGUAUGGUCUCUACCAUGUUAUUUAUGUUUACCUUUACUUUCGUCGUUUCAUUAAAGGCUUCUCCUUAAUAGCACGACCUUUGAACAACCUCCUAAUAGGACAUCCGAUGAAAACUGACACAACAUCCAAAAAGAAGUCGAAGAAAGCUCAUUCUGUUUGGACCAGCAUUCAACAAGAAGCAUUUGACCAACUGAAAAAGAAUCUUGUUAAUCAUCCGCUUUUGGCUUAUGCGGACUAUGCACAACCCUAUGAAGUAGAAACCGACGCUUCAUAAAUUGGUCUUGGUGCAGUGUUACGUCAGAAACAAGACGGGGUAAAGAAAGUAAUAGCGUACGAAAGCCUAAAACCUUCAGAAGCAAACUACCCAGCACACACGGAACUCGAUCGUCAGCUAUGCGGGUUGAUGCUUCCCCUACACCAGAGGUCAAAUACCUUCGUGACUGGGAUUCAUUUGUAGUUUUCGAUGGGGUUUUGUAUCGCUCUGCUACAUACAAGGACUACAAAAUACAGACAACUUCUGUUACCAGAGUCAGUUCGCAGUGAGGUGUUCAAGGCACUACACGACGAUCUUAAACAUCAGGGACGAGACCGGACCACUUCCUUAUUCAAACAACGUUUUUAUUGGCCCAGAAUGGAUGCCUACAUCAAGGAGAUGGUCGAUAACUUCCCGAGAUGUAAACUUAAGAAAGGUCGUGGUGACACUGAGUCACUUGUGCCAAUAUACUCAUCAGAACCCGUGGAGAUCGUCUGCAUCGAUUACUUAGGCCUUGAACGUUCGAAAGGGGGUUAUGAACAUAUAUUGGUGGUGACAGAUCAUUUUACCAGAUAUGCCCAGGCGUUUCCGACGAAGAACCAGACAGCAGGGACUACAGCAAAAGUUCUCUUCGAACAAUUCUUUGUUCAUUACGGAUUUCCUAGCCGUAUUCACUGUGACCAAGGUGCGAACUUUGAGAGCGACCUGAUCAAGGAACUAUAGCACAGUCUAGAACAACUCCUUACCACGCAAUGGGCAAUGGUCUCUGUGAAAGAUUCAACCAAACUCUGUUGAAAAUGCUGGGAACAUUACAAGAAACAAAGAAGUCUGAUUGGAAAUCUUACGUGGCACCAAUGACCCACGCAUACAAUGUCACCAUACACGACAGUACCUCGUUUUCACCUUAUUUCUUGAAGUUUGGUCGCCAACCUUAGCUCGCACUCGAAGCAGUUUUAGGCCUGAACAUGCUGACACCAAGGCAAUGUCAAGAAAUGAGUACGACAGAAAGCUCCGUGACAGGUUUGCGUACGCCUACCAGAAAGCCAAGGAAUCGUCCGAAGAAACCGGCAAAGCGAAUAAGUAACGGUACGAUCAAAAAGCUAAGUCUUCUGUUCUUAAGCCUGGUGACAUUGUCUUGGCAAAGAAUGCGACAAUCAGAGGUAAACGCAAGAUUGCCGACAAAUGGGAGUCGGGUCCAUACAUCGUACUAUCCAAGCCCGAUGACAGUAUUCCAGUGUACAAGAUAAAGAAACAGAAUUGCAGAUCAAGAAAGAUCCGAACUGUGCAUUGCAAUCUACUCCUACCACUGAAGUCAACACUUCGUAGCAACAACGAUGAAGCUAAGGAAACACCGGCGCCAAAAUACAUCAUUCCAGCUAGAAGGAAUAUAGCUUUUGACACGGACAACGCUGGGAUUGACAUGAGUAUCCCUCCAUCGAGACCAAUACGUCAAAUACGACUGCCACAAAAGUUCAGAUAAGUGAAGAGAUGGUUUCUAUAUGGUUGUAUGAUGAAAUGAUGUAUGUACUGUUAAAUUAAAUUGUGUAUUGACUUUUUGUGUUGAUGUUAAAUGUGUAUAUAUCUUUGACGUGAAGUGAUGGUUUCUAGAUGGUUGUAUGAACUGUAAUAGUACAUAUGGCAUGUUUUGAAGAAACUGUAUGAAAUAAUGUAUGAACUGUUAAAUUAAAUUGUGUAUUGACUUUUUGUGUUGAUGUUAAAUGUGUAUAUAUCUUUGAAGUGAAAUGAAUUUAUUAACUGAUAGGAAUAUACAUAGAUGGAAGUUUGAAUAUUGUUAGAAUUAAAAUGUAUAUUGUGUUCAAAGGAUUAUUGAAUGUGUUCCGAGAAUUGCCUUUGAACUGGAACCGAAAUGAAUUGUGAGAUUAAUAUGCGAAAAAUCGUUCAAGAAAUCAAGACAUGCCUCUUUUCGGGUUGAUCUGUUCCUGCGAAAUGAAGGAGUGAUUUCGAUGAUAUCUUAAUAUGAAAUAACUGCAUUUGAAGUAAUAUGAAUUGGAAAUCAUCUGAUAGCAAAAGUAAUUCAUUGAUGAGUGUUGAAUUAUGAAAUUGAGUGAAAUGAAAGUCAUGUGAUGAGGCAACGUCAUUCUAAAUGUAUUGUCAAAUUGUGCUCUAAUAUUGUUAGGAUCGUUCAACAGUUUGAUAGAUUAUACGAUAUUGAUUUGUAUGACAAAUUAUUUUGGUGUUCAUCUUUUCAUGUAUACAUCUAUAAGUAUAUUUUGCAUUUAUUUUUGUUUUAAAAUAUAUAUGUAUGUUAUGUGAAAGUGAACAUGAUUGUUUGCAAUUGUUUCAUUAUAUUUAGGUUUAAACUUAACAAUAUGUAAUUUUGGAUUUGCAAGUGUAUUCAAUAUUUUUUUAAGCUCCCUAGUUCAAAUGUCGGGACGCUAUUUUUUAGCUGGGGGGGUAAUAUGUCAUAGGGUUACUUCAUUUAUUAAAUUGUGUAUAGAUUGUUAAGCAGUUUAGUGUUUGUUAGCCAGUUUUAAAACGGCUUCCGCCAAAACAUAAAUAAUAGAAAAGUCGCCGAUCAAAUAUUGCUUAUUGAAAGUCCAAUGUUCAAUGCGUUUAUAUUUAUAUUCGCGCAGGUAAUGAUGUCCAAGAGUUACAUUAAUAUAUAUUGAUUUUAUUUUGCAAUUAAUCCAUUAUAAUGCAAUACAGUAUUUGUUUAUUAUAUUGUUUUUCACUCAACUUAUUAUUCACUUGUGUCUAUUUAUAGA